UACGUAGGGGGCAAGCGUUGUCCGGAUUUACUGGGCGUAAAGAGCGCGUAGGCGGAAGCUUAAGUGUGGCCUGAAAGCCCCCGGCUCAACCGGGGAGUGCGGCUGCAAACUGGGCUUCUUGAGGGUGGCAGAGGAGAGUGGAAUUCCUGGUGUAGCGGUGAAAUGCGCAGAUAUCAGGAAGAACACCAAUGGCGAAGGCAGCUCUCUGGGACGGUACUGACGCUGAGACGCGAAAGCGUGGGGAGCGAACAGG
rnacentral:rRNA from 1 species